rnacentral:rRNA from 1 species
UAGGGAAUUUUCGUCAAUGGGGGAACCCGUGAACGAGCAAUGCCGCGUGUGUGAAGAAGGUCUUCGGAUCGUAAAGCACUGUUGUAAGUGAAGAAUGCCAUAUAGAGGAAAUGCCAUGUGGGUGACGGUAGCUUACCAGAAAGCCACGGCUAACUACGUGCCAGCAGCCGCGGUAAUACGUAGGUGGCAAGCGUUAUCCGGAAUCAUUGGGCGUAAAGGGUGCGUAGGUGGCACGAUAAGUCUGAAGUAAAAGGCAACAGCUCAACUGUUGUAUGCUUUGGAAACUGUCGAGCUAGAGUGCAGAAGAGGGCGAUGGAAUUCCAUGUGUAGCGGUAAAAUGCGUAGAUAUAUGGAAGAACACCAGUGGCGAAAGCGGCUCUCUGGUCUGCAACUGACGCUGAGGUUCGAAAGCGUGGGGUAGCAAACAGGAUUAGAUACC